rnacentral:rRNA from 1 species
UCAGGCGGCUAUGGCGCCGGGGUUCCACCUCUUCCCAUUCCGAACAGAGAAGUUAAGCCCGGCCGCGCCGAUGGUACUGCCCAGAAGGUGGGAGAGUAGGUUGCCGCCGUUC